AUGCACGCUGGCGGCGUGCUUAACACAUGCCGGUCGAACGAUGAAGCCCAGCUUGCUGGGUGGAUUAGUGGCGAACGGGUGAGUAACACGUGAGUAACCUGCCCUUAACUCUGGGAUAAGCCUGGGAAACUGGGUCUAAUACCGGAUAGGAGCGUCCACCGCAUGGUGGGUGUUGGAAAGAUUUAUCGGUUUUGGAUGGACUCGCGGCCUAUCAGCUUGUUGGUGAGGUAAUGGCUCACCAAGGCGACGACGGGUAGCCGGCCUGAGAGGGUGACCGGCCACACUGGGACUGAGACACGGCCCAGACUCCUACGGGAGGCAGCAGUGGGGAAUAUUGCACAAUGGGCGCAAGCCUGAUGCAGCGACGCCGCGUGAGGGAUGACGGCCUUCGGGUUGUAAACCUCUUUCAGUAGGGAAGAAGCGAAAGUGACGGUACCUGCAGAAGAAGCACCGGCUAACUACGUG
rnacentral:rRNA from 1 species